GCAUCGAUGAAGAACGCAGCGAAAUGCGAUACUUGGUGUGAAUUGCAGAAUCCCGUGAACCAUCGAGUCUUUGAACGCAAGUUGCGCCCGAAGCCAUUAGGCCGAGGGCACGCCUGCCUGGGUGUCACACAUCGUUUCCCCAACGCAAACAUGUAACAAUGUUGCUGCGCGGGGUGUAUGCUGACCUCCCGCGAGCACCCGCCUCGUGGUUGGUUGAAAUCUGGGUUCAUGGCCGACUUCGCCGUGAUAAAAUGGUGGAUGAGCCACGCUCGAGACCAAUCACGUGCGAGCCGGUCAGUUCUGGACCCAUCGACGACCCUUUGCGUGCACGCACGCUCCCAACGAGACCUCAGGUCAGGCGGGGCUACCCGCUGAGUUUAAGCAUAUCAAUAAGCGGAGG
rnacentral:misc_RNA from 1 species